AUUUUAGAUAGGAUAGACAGGGAAAGUCCCACUAAGAAGGUGACUUAAGAUUGGAAGGAAGUUAGGCCAUUCUUUUUUCUUGCAGAGACCGAGACUGGCUGAGGGACAGGGAAGUCCCUGAGAUACAGUGAGCCACGUGGGUUCAAGGACUAUUAGAGAGGCCUGUGUGGCUGAAGCUGAAGAACCAGGCAAGAGUGGGAGAAUGUCACAAAGAUAAGGCAAUGACAGCCACAUCCUUCCACAUUAGACUUCUUGGGUAAGCAGCUUCUGAAAUUGUUCUACAGCUGUUCGUAGCUGUCUGGCAGCGACCACUCCAUUUGCAAGAAAUGGAGUCCUACUAUGUUACCCAGGCUG